CAGUCGCCGCGGGAAUACGUAGGUGGCAAGCGUUGUCCGGAAUUAUUGGGCGUAAAGGGCUCGCAGGCGGUUUCUUAAGUCUGAUGUGAAAGCCCCCGGCUCAACCGGGGAGGGUCAUUGGAAACUGGGAAACUUGAGUGCAGAAAAGGAGAGUGGAAUUCCACGUGUAGCGGUGAGAUGCGUAGAGAUGUGGAGGAACACCAGUGGCGAAGGCGACUCUCUGGUCUGUAACUGACGCUGAGGAGCGAAAGCGUGGGGAGCGAACAGGAUUAGAUACCCGCGUAGUCCCUGUCUCUUAUAC
rnacentral:rRNA from 1 species